UGUGCAUUCUCGCGAACGCGUGACCGAAGGAUGCCAGACUAUAUACAAGAAGAAGAAGGGGCCACACUUUGCUAGUGGCCAGCCUGCCUGAGUCUCUCGUAGAGAGUUUCAGUGCUGCCCCGAGCUCGGUGGGCUUCGGACGUGUUUGUGUAGUCGGUGGGUUUCUUACGUUGGUCUCUGUGAUGUCUCCCCGGUAGUGCUUAUUAAACGAGAAUAGUAGAGAUUAAUAACAUGAAGACAAUAGAAAUUAUUGUAAUGGACUUUUACUUUACAAAAACACGAUAUUUGAUACAAAAACACGAUAUUUGAAUCAAAGGCUUUAAUUGAAAUCCCAUUUCCCAUUGGAAAAAUCGAUCCUGACCAUCAAUAUUAAGUGUUGUGUAAUAAACUGAGAUAAAAAAAACUGAUGCUGACAAAAACCUGUCAGAUCUGCAAUGAGUGUCACAGUAACCUGCGGCUUAAUACUGGAAUGAGGAAGACAGGACUGGAUAAAUAUUAUAUCGGUUAUUAAGAUCUGCUGUUGUCGGCAGCCUGUUCAGAACCGAAAACAUCCGGUUACGAAACAGCGAACAGCUUCAGCGUAAACUUCAUUCUCACUCUGGAAACGAAAUGAGUGUUUUUAAAAAUAUCCACGCAUUUUAAAAGCAUCGUUGAAAGUUCACCGAAAUUGCAUCAGUAUCUUUUAUACGAAACUGCCUCAACAAUGAAGGUUUAUUAAAUCCAUAACGAAACAUCUGCGCCGUUCAUUAUUUGGGAAAUCGAGAGCCAUUGUGACGAGCCGCCCAUGAUGAAUGCAUCUUUGGCAAACUGACAGUGUUAAAUUACUGCGUGGGAAACGAGAUUUGUUUACAGGAUUUUAUAGAAAUACCAAAGGUUUAGGUAAAUUAUGUCAGUUGUAGUUCUACGGUUAUUAUGGGCAGAAUAUAAUGAACUGAGUACAAUGAACGGAGUAUAAUGAACUGCUUCAGUUAAACAUUCCCAUAACCUGAAAUUAUGACAGUGAUUCCUCUCAGGAGAUGGAUGUGAAAAUGAUAAUAGGUGGCUCGCGUCGGUAAAUCCAAGAUGAACGCGUAGGUGGAUUGAAGUGAUUCCCCUAUGAGUGAAUUUACUGAGCUUAUGUUAAUAAGGUCUAAAUUCGAAUUCUGUAUAAUCCAUUAUCUAGAGUCAUUUGCACAUAAACAUGAACAGUCAUGCGAAAUAUACCCCACGGUCGUUAAUCAACUUACAGACUAAUUAAACUCCCUCGAGAACGAAGAGAACCGAACAAGCAUUCAGGGCGUCCUGAAACCCCAGAGGAUGGGCGUGCUUUCCAGUAGCACGACGCCCCUGGACGUGGGCGCCUUCAAUCACUCGUGGGAAGACGAAUUAUGGGAUCACGGCGACCAGCGUGAUAUAUUGGACUGUCAGGCAUUAUUCAACGCGACUCAGGUGUCCUCGACUCCGCCUAAUAUACA